rnacentral:rRNA from 1 species
CCUACGGGAGGCAGCAGUGGGGAAUAUUGCGCAAUGGAGGAAAGCCUGAUGCAGCAACGCCGCGUGAAUGAAGAAGGUCUUCGGAUCGUAAAGUUCUAUCAUCAGGGACGAAGAAGAUGACGGUACCUGAGGAAUAAGCCACGGCAAACUACGUGCCAGCAGCCGCGGUAAUACGUAGGUGGCAAGCGUUGUCCGGAAUUACUGGGGGUAAAGGGAGCGUAGGCGGUCUGGUAAGCUGGAAGUGAAAUCCCGGGGCUUAACCCCAGAACUGCAUUUAGGACUGACGAGCUUGAGUGUAAGAGAGGUAAGCGGAAUUCCUAGUGUAGCGGUGGAAUGCGUAGAUAUUAGGAGGAACACCAGUGGCGAAGGCGGCUUACUGGAUUAUAACUGACGCUGAGGCUCGAAAGCGUGGGUAGCGAACAGGAUUAGAUACCCUAGUAGUC